GAAAUGCGAUAAGUAAUGCGAAUUGCAGAAUUCAGUGAGUCAUCGAAUCUUUGAACGCACAUUGCGCCCUUUGGUAUUCCGAAGGGCAUGCCUGUUCGAGCGUCAUUAUCACCUCUCAAGCGCGGCUUGCUGUUGGACCCCACAUCGUUGAAAGAUGGGCCCGAAAGAUAAUGACGGCGUCGUGAUCGACCCUAGAUGCAACGAGCUUCGCGGCACGCAUGAUAGUGGUCGGCCGGGCCGGUCUUGACUAAUUUUUAUAUUUUCCAAGGUUGACCUCGGAUCAGGCAGGAAUACCCGCUGAACUUAA
rnacentral:misc_RNA from 1 species